rnacentral:lncRNA from 1 species
CAGUUGGAUUGUUAUUAUAUUGAAGUCAUAUUCUUUUAUGAAAUUCUAACAAUUUAACACAUACAAACUUUGACUUGGAAGAAGAAAAAAACAGGGCAAGAUUUUUCAAAAGAAAACUUUGAUUUUACUUUCAUCACUAUUUUCCUGUGAACCAAACAUAGCAUUAGUGCCUAACAUGUUUGGUUUCACAUUCAUUACCCACCCACCCCUCACAUGGUAAACUACAUUAUAAACAUAAAAACAUAUACAUAUACAUAUACAUAUACAUAUACAUAUACAUAUACAUAUACAUAUACAUAUACAUAUACAUAUACAUAUACAUAUACAUAUACAUAUACAUAUACAUAUACAUAUACAUAUAUGCAUUACAUGCAUGUAUAUAUAUAAAACAAAUGAUUCAAAACAUGCAGAUUGGAUUAUAGACAAAGAUUUAGAAAAAAAAAAACAGGGUUUUUUUACCAGAAACUAAACAACAAUAAUAAUAUAUUGAGAGACAAUGGCAAAAAAAAAUUGAAA